ACGUAUCGUACCCCGGAACCAAUCGGCC
rnacentral:sRNA from 1 species